rnacentral:rRNA from 2 species
GGGUUGUGAGGUUAAGCGACUAAGCGUACACGGUGGAUGCCCUGGCAGUCAGAGGCGAUGAAGGGCGUACUAAUCUGCGAUAAGCGCCGGUAAGGUGAUAUGAACCGUUAUAACCGGCGAUACCCGAAUGGGGAAACCCAGUGUGACUCGUCACACUAUCAUUAACUGAAUCCAUAGGUUAAUGAGGCGAACCGGGGGAACUGAAACAUCUAAGUACCCCGAGGAAAAGAAAUCAACCGAGAUUCCCCCAGUAGCGGCGAGCGAACGGGGAGGAGCCCAGAGCCUGAAUCAGCAUGUGUGUUAGUGGAAGCGUCUGGAAAGGCGCGCGAUACAGGGUGACAGCCCCGUACACAAAAGCGCAUGUGCUGUGAGCUCGAUGAGUAGGGCGGGACACGUGGUAUCCUGUCUGAAUAUGGGGGGACCAUCCUCCAAGGCUAAAUACUCCUGACUGACCGAUAGUGAACCAGUACCGUGAGGGAAAGGCGAAAAGAACCCCGGCGAGGGGAGUGAAAAAGAACCUGAAACCGU